UGUCGAUAGUUUUUCUCUAUCUUACUUACGUAUUCUCCCAUUCAAUUGAAAAUUCCAGAAAAUGUAACAGUGUUAGUGAACAGCUGAAAAUGUUUCAAUGUGUUUGUGCAAUCUGUUACCUCCGUCUUGCAGGGUACUUAUCUCUAACCGGUAAUAUUUUGCAACGAGUGUCAGUUGAUCUAAAUUCCACUGACCCAAUUGAAAAAUAUGAUGACUUGAAGAUUCUCAACAACGGCGGGCUUGAAAAUUUGGCAGGGUACAUCAGUCACAAACUUGGUAAAGACAACCCCGAAAUUGUUUUUCGGAGCUAGAAUGUGUUUUAGGAUUCGUUCCUUAAAUAAAAACUUAAUUGAAAAUAUGUACAGCAAAAUAAGAAAAUUAAAUAAGACAAUAGAUUGAUAGUUGGUCACAAAA